rnacentral:rRNA from 1 species
GACGAACGCUGGCGGCGUGCCUAAUACAUGCAAGUCGAACGCUGAAGGAGGAGCUUGCUUCUCUGGAUGAGUUGCGAACGGGUGAGUAACGCGUAGGUAACCUGCCUGGUAGCGGGGGAUAACUAUUGGAAACGAUAGCUAAUACCGCAUAAUAGUAGAUGUUGCAUGAAAUUUGCUUAAAAGGUGCAAUUGCAUCACUACCAGAUGGACCUGCGUUGUAUUAGCUAGUUGGUGAGGUAACGGCUCACCAAGGCAACGAUACAUAGCCGACCUGGGGGGGGGAGCGGCCACACUGGGACUGGGACACGGCCCAGACUCCUACGGGAGGCAGCAGUAGGGGAGCUUCGGCAAUGGACGGAAGUCUGACCGAGCAACGCCGCGGGAGUGAAGAAGGUUUUCGGAUCGUAAAGCUCUGUUGUAAGAGAAGAACGAGUGUGGGAGUGGAAAGUUCACACUGUGACGGUAUCUUACCAGAAAGGGACGGCUAACUACGUG